rnacentral:misc_RNA from 1 species
GAUGAAGAACCGUAGCGAAAUGCGAUAAGUAAUGUGAAUUGCAGAAUUCAGUGAAUCAUCGAAUCUUUGAACGCACAUUGCGCCCCCUGGUAUUCCGGGGGGCAUGCCUGUUCGAGCGUCAUUUCACCACUCAAGCCUCGCUUGGUAUUGGGCAACGCGGUCCGCCGCGUGCCUCAAAUCGACCGGCUGGGUCUUCUGUCCCCUAAGCGUUGUGGAAACUAUUCGCUAAAGGGUGUUCGGGAGGCUACGCCGUAAAACAACCCCAUUUCUAAGGUUGACCUCGGAUCAGGUAGGGAUACCCGCUGAACUUAAGCAUAUCAAUAAGCGGAGGA